UAUGAGUAGAAAAUCAAACAUUUAUUUAUAAAAAAGUUUUACAUUUAAGAGUAUAGUUUUCUGUAGUUCAUAUUAUUCAUUCAAAUAUUAUUUAAAAUGACCACAACUCCAUUUUUGAAUUGGCACAAAUUACUAAGUAGUAAUAAGCAAAAGAUUUAACAGCGUACUCAGAACACUUCACCUGUUCACCAUUACCACUGGAAACAAACAAAAGAAUUAUUUCAUCGGAGCAGCGCCGGAGUAUUUUGAUCGGACCCUACCCGACCCGACAAAUCAAAAAUCAAUUUUUGGGUUUUAGGGUUUAUCUCAUGCUUUGCAAAUGGAUAUAGACACUGAUAUAUCUCGUUGGAUUCUCGAAUUCAUACUUCAACAACCACUCGAAGAUAACAGUCUCAACAAUCUCAUUAACAUUCUUCCAUUCCCAAACAACAAUUCAAACCUCAAAAAAGCCCUAAUCCUUAGAAAAAUCGAAUCCGAGAUUUCUAACGGUUGUGUUACUGAGAAAAUCCUCGAAUUUCUCGAAUUAAUUGAGGAACUUGAUCAUCAAGAAGGAAUUGAAGCUUCAAAUGUUAUGAAAACGGCGUAUUGUGCGGUUGCAGUGGAGUGUACUGUGAAGUUUUUGAAUUGUAAAGAGGCGGGAAGUGAUAAAGGAAAGUAUUUUGAAGCAGUAAGGAGGAUAUGGAAAAAAAGAAUUAAUUUAAUGGAAAAAAUGGAGAAUGUAGGCGUUGUAUCGGAAGAGUUAUGGAAUUGGAGAGAUGAAAUAGAAGCGGCUUUAUGGGAAGAUAGGUGUUUUGAUAAUGUGAUAAGGAGAAGUAAAUGUGUGUUUGCUGUUGAUAAGGUUAAGGUUUUUGUUGGGGAAGUUAAAGAGAGAAUGGGGUCUCCGUUUCUUGAUGUUGUGGCAGAAAAAUAUCGGACUGAUGAUACUAUGAAGGCGUUUUUUGGAGGGGUGAACGAUGACAGAGAAGUGCGCCAAGGAACUGGAUUGCCCAGGCAGAAACAUGUUGCUUUCAAACGCACCAGACGAGCAUCAGCUGGGACGUGUGGAGGUGUCAGGAUCAGUGAUUCUAUCGAGUCGGAACCUGAAGCAUCUAGUAGACAGGAUGAUUUACUGCCUUCACCUGCAAUCCAGAAAGCAGAUGAUACAUUGAAGGCAUUUGUUGGAGGAGUCAAUGAAGAAGGGACUUGCAGGAAAAGGGACAAAGAAGUUUGCCAAGGAAAAGCAUUGCCCAGGCAGAAGCAUGUUGCUUUCAAACGCACCAGAGGAGCAGUCAGGAUCAGUGAUUCAAUUGAGUCGGAACUUGAGGCAUAUGGUAGACAGGAUGAUUUACUGUCUUCACCUUUAAUCCAGUUAGCUGAGGAAGCGCUUAAAUUAAGUUCUUCAGAGCUGCGUGCUGUGGUGAAGGAUCCUCUACCUGAUGCGAUACGUCUUGCUGACACUUUGUCUUCUGUGGUAAGGGAUGAUACGGCUCAUCAGCCUGCCAAAAAUAACAGUGACAAAGCCCCUCAUCCAGUUGUUGCCGGUAGCAGAACGGUUCAAACUAGUGAGAAGAAUUGUGAGGCGCAGCAUAACUGUCAUCAUAGUGCUGCAUCCAGGCCAAACCGAGUGAACCGAAACAGUGCUGCCCAUACAUCGGAGGUUACUGCACUGAAAAAAUUGCUUGCCUCCAACCGUGCUGCCCAUACAUCUGAGUGGGACGAUUUGUUUGAUGAGUUAAAUGAAGGAUCACUAAGUGGCGUGAAUAGGGUUACAUUACCUAGCCCGAAGAGGACGAAAAUUUCUCCCUUGAAGAAGUAUGAAUUUAAAAAAAUCACCACGAGGAGAAAGCCCACGAAAUGGAGUACGUUGGAAGAAGACACUUUGAGAACUGGUGUACAGAUAUAUGGUUCCGGAAACUGGACGGUAAUCUUAGGUGCUUAUCGUGACAUAUUUGCAGUAAGGACAGCAGUUGACUUGAAGGACAAGUGGAGAAACAUGAUUUCAUAGAUAUUUAUUUUGAAGAAAUUUGCUAAUGUAUGAUGAAGGCCUUUUGUUUUCUUAAGCAGAGGUUGCUACUAUUAGAGAUGAGUAUCGUCUCUCGAUUUCUUCUUGGUUACUAUAUGGAGGUUCCAUCGAACCCUAAGAGCAUCUCGAGCCAGUCCUACAAUGGCGACUUGAUUUCAAAUAGCUCCUGUUUGCUAAUAGUU